rnacentral:lncRNA from 1 species
AGAGAGACGUGAGGUUGAGAGUGAAAGAGAGAUGCGUUUGAGCGACUGUGAGAGAGGGUUUGUUAGCGAGAGUGACGAGAGGUGAGUGAGAUGAAGAGAGCUCGAGGACGAUGAAUAGGUUCUGUUCUCAUUUUUUUCUUUUUAUUUAUUUCUUUUUAUUUGUUAAUAAAACAAACAUUGAAACUAUUAAAAAAUUUACGUUUAAUCUUCCUAUGUUUUUAUUUAACAGUGUUUUUAGUUAAUAGUGUACAUUAAUAUAUCAUUUUUUUGGUAUUCCCAAUCCAUCAGCCUUUGGAACCCAACAGCCAGGCGGCUGGGUUUAUUUUUUGGUAAUCCAACAGACCAUUUUUAUUUAAAUUUUAUUUUUUAAUCUUUUACUUCAAUCUGUUCUGGUUUAUAUAUUCCAGUUGUUAUUGUAAAUAAUAACUAAUCAUGAGUGGCCUAGUGGAGAGAGAGUAGUUUCAUUUGGUUUAGUGGAGUGGGUUUGAUACUUGGGGACAACAAUCUUUGUGUUUAUAUUUGUUAUGCUUACCAUUUUAUUUAAUUUCUUUUUCUAUAUAGUAUCUUGCUAUUUUAUUUUAUUUUUAUUUAUUCGAUUUAGUCGAUUUUUG